rnacentral:rRNA from 1 species
CCUACGGGGGGCUGCAGUGAGGAAUAUUGGUCAAUGGCCGCAGGGCUGAACCAGCCAAGUCGCGUGAGGGAUGACGGUCCUAUGGAUUGUAAACCUCUUUUGUCAGGGAGCAAAGGGCGCCACGUGUGGCGCUUUGCGAGUACCUGAAGAAAAAGCAUCGGCUAACUCCGUGCCAGCAGCCGCGGUAAUACGGAGGAUGCGGGCGUUAUCCGGAUUUAUUGGGUUUAAAGGGUGCGCAGGCGGAAUGUGAAGUCAGCGGUAAAAUUUCGGGGCUCAACCCCGUCGUGCCGUUGAAACUGGCGUUCUUGAGUGAGCGAGAAGUAUGCGGAAUGCGUGGUGUAGCGGUGAAAUGCAUAGAUAUCACGCAGAACUCCGAUUGCGAAGGCAGCAUACCGGCGCUCAACUGACGCUCAUGCACGAAAGCGUGGGUAUCGAACAGGAUUAGAUACCCGUGUAGUC